CUCUCAAAAACCUCCCGUAACUCACUUUUAAUCAUUUUAACACCUUCGGACUUUCCGAAGUAUACCGUCCUCGCACUUUGGUCAAUUUGACUAAAGUUCGACAUUUUAUUUUCCGAAUUUUCGGUAUAUUACAGUCCUCGCUCCACAAUCAAUCGUAGCAAAGUAUCGGACUAACCAAUCCAUACCGAGCACAAUGUCGA
rnacentral:lncRNA from 1 species